rnacentral:rRNA from 1 species
UACGUAGGGGGCAAGCGUUGUCCGGAUUUAUUGGGCGUAAAGAGCGUGUAGGCGGCUCGGUAAGUCGGGUGUGAAACCUCCAGGCUCAACCUGGAGACGCCACCCGAUACUGCCGUGGCUAGAGUCCGGUAGAGGAGCGUAGAAUUCCUGGUGUAGCGGUGAAAUGCGCAGAUAUCAGGAGGAAUACCAGCGGCGAAGGCGGGCGCUCUGGGGCCGGUACUGACGCUGAGGAGCGAAAGCGUGGGGAGCAAACAGGA